rnacentral:rRNA from 1 species
AUUGAACGCUGGCGGCAGGCCUAACACAUGCAAGUCGAGCGAGCGGCGGACGGGUGAGUAAUGUAUGGGGUCUGCCCGCUUGAGGGGGAUAACUACUGGAAACGGUAGCUAAAUCCCAAUAUUACCGGCUAACCCCUAUGGGAUUAGCUAGUAGGUGAGGUAAUGGCUCACCUAGGCGACGAUCCCUAGCUGGUCUGAGAGGAUGAUCAGCCAAACUGGGACUGAGACACGGCCCAGACUCCUACGGAGGCAGCAGUGGGGAAUAUUGCACAAUGGGCGCAAGCCGGAUGCAGCCAUGCCGCGUGUAUGAAGAAGGCCCUAGGGUUGUAAAGUACUUUCAGUCGGGAGGCGUUACCGACAGAAGAAGCACCGGCUAACUCCGUGCCAGCAGCCGCGGUAAUAC